rnacentral:miRNA from 1 species
AAUUGUUCUUGCUGCCGUCU